UGCUCUCGAUCAAUGCUCCUGGUUUCCCC
rnacentral:piRNA from 2 species